UACGUAGGCAGCAAGCGUUGUUCGGAGUUACUGGGCGUAAAGAGUACGUAGGCGGUUGCGUAAGUUCGGUGUGAAAUCUCCCGGCUUAACUGGGAGGGUGCGCCGAAAACUGCGUGGCUUGAGUGCGGGAGAGGAGAGCGGAAUUCCUGGUGUAGCGGUGAAAUGCGUAGAUAUCAGGAGGAACACCGGCGGUGUAGACGGCUCUCUGGACCGUAACUGACGCUGAGAUACGAAAGCGUGGGUAGCAAACAGG
rnacentral:rRNA from 1 species